rnacentral:tRNA from 1 species
UGUACAUUAGUUUAAGAAAAACACCUUAUUUUCUGUAGGGAAAUGGAAAAUCCAUGUAUCA